ACUGGGUUGCCUGUGGUAUGUGUUUUCAACAUGGCGGCUGCGAAUGGUCUCUUACUUUCAGGCCGCUUAGCUCUUGUAACAGGUGGUGCUAGUGGGAUAGGAAGAGCCAUAUGCCAGACACUAGCCAAAGCCGGUGCAUCAGUAGCAGUUGUAGAUAGAAAUAUUGAAGGUGCCAAGGAAACUGGCAACAGCCUUUCAAAAAAUGAUGGCAAUCAGCUGCAUUCUUACCAUGCCACUGACGUAGUCUCAUCACUUCAAGUUAAUAAAUUGAUCUUGAAAGUGCAAGAAGAUCAUCAGAGACCACCUUGUAUCUUGGUUAAUUCUGCAGGAAUCACAAGAGAUGCUUUCUUCUUGAAGAUGAAUGAAGAGGCUUUUGAUGAAGUUAUUGAUGUCAACCUCAAAGGUACAUUCUUGAUGUCACAAUUUGCAUCCAAAGCAAUGGUUGAAAGCAAGAUAAGCAAUGGUUCCAUAAUCAACAUUGCUAGUAUUGUCGGAAAGACAGGCAACAUAGGUCAAGCAAACUAUACAGCUUCAAAGGCAGGGGUUGAAGGCUUGACAAGAACAUGUGCUCUUGAGCUGGCAAGGUUUGGUAUCAGGUGUAAUGCCGUUCUUCCUGGAUUCAUUCAUUCUCCCAUGACUGAGAAAAUCCCAGAACAAAUUACUCAAAAAAUAGUAAAAAUGGUCCCCUUGAGUCGUAUCGGACAACCAUCAGAAAUAGCAGAGGUGGUCAAUUUUCUGGCCUCAGACCUCAGCAGCUACAUUACUGGAGCCUCUAUUGAAGUGACAGGAGGACUAUCAAUGUAAUCCAGCAACUUUGAAACACCAUUUUUAGUAUCAGUACUUUGAUCUUCCAUAAAAUAGAGAAGUUAUAUUGGACAAAUGAAAAAAGCCAAGUUGCUAUGGCGACAAGGAAUAACAUCUUCAUGCUUAUAGUUAUCCUUGCCAAAUAAGGUACAGGGACCCCAGGCAAGACUAUUAUGUCAGCAUAUAACAGCAGAUAUUUGUGUAUCCAACA
rnacentral:misc_RNA from 1 species